AUGUGGUGGGCCUUGGAGAAACACAAAGUCCCAGCAAAGUACAUUACCCUCAUCAAGGACAUGUACAAUAAUGUUGUGACAAGUGUUCGAACAAGUGAUGUCGACACCGAUGACUUCCCGAUUAAGAUAGGACUGCAUCAGGGGUCAGCUUUGAGCCCUUAUCUUUUUGCAUUGGUGAUGGAUGAGGUCACAAGGGAUAUACAAGGAGAUAUCCCAUGGUGUAUGCUCUUUGCGGAUGAUGUGGUGCUAGUUGACGAUAGUCGGACGGGGGUAAAUAGGAAGUUAGAGUUAUGGAGACAAACCUUGGAAUCGAAAGGGUUUAGGCUUAGUAGAACUAAAACCGAGUACAUGAUGUGCGGUUUCAGUACUACUAGGUGUGAGGAGGAGGAGGUUAGCCUUGAUGGCCAGGUGGUACCUCGGAAGGACACCUUUCGGUAUUUGGGGUCAAUGUUGCAGGAGGAUGGGGGUAUUGAUGAAGAUGUGAACCAUCGAAUCAAAGCCGGAUGGAUGAAGUGGCGCCAAGCUUCUGGCAUUCUCUGUGACAAGAGACUGCCACAAAAGCUAAAAGGCAAGUUCUACAGGACGGCGGUUCGACCCGCAAUGUUGUAUGGCGCGGAGUGUUGGCCGACUAAAAGGCGACAUGUUCAACAGUUAGGUGUGGCGGAGAUGCGUAUGUUGAGAUGGAUGUGUGGCCACACGAGGAAGGAUCGAGUCCGGAAUGAUGAUAUACGAGAUAGAGUUGGGGUAGCACCAAUUGAGGAGAAGCUUGUCCAACAUCGUCUGAGAUGGUUUGGGCAUAUUCAGCGCAGGCCUCCAGAAGCUCCAGUGUAUAGCGGACGGCUAAAGCGUGCGGAGAAUGUCAAGAGAGGGCGGGGUAGACCGAAUUUGACAUGGGAGGAGUCCGUUAAGAGAGACCUGAAGGAUUGGAGUAUCACCAAAGAGCUAGCUAUGGACAGGGGUGCGUGGAAGCUUGCUAUCCAUGUGCCCGAGCCAUGA
rnacentral:rRNA from 1 species